AUGCAGCUAGAGAAGAUCAGGGAGCGCUCUUCUUUUUCUUCUUCUUCUUCUUCUUCUUUUAUGGCACGCGGUGUUGCCCCCAUGGCACUCAUCUGCUGUUGGUUAGCAUGCUCGGCGGCGGCCCAAGUUGUUCCGGACGGACGCCGUGAGCCAAGGAGUCCGCCUGCGCCACUGCCAGGGAACCACAACCCGGUGGAGGCUCCAGCCGAGAUUGCGUCGCCACCACCGCCUAUGGAGACAACGGCGCUUGCGCCGCACCGCAAGACCCUGCAGCAGGCUUUUUUGCGCGUUCCUCAUCUAUGA
rnacentral:rRNA from 1 species